rnacentral:rRNA from 1 species
AUUGAACGCUGGCGGCAGGCCUAACCCAUGCAAGUCGAACGAGUGGCGGACGGGUGAGUAAUGUCUGGGAAACUGCCUGAUGGAGGGGGAUAACUACUGGAAACGGUAGCUAAUACCGCAUACCAUCGGAUGUGCCCAGAGGGGAUUAGCUAGUAGGUGGGGUAAAGACUCACCUAGGCGACUGACCCUAGCUGGUCUGAGAGGAUGACAAGCCACAAUGGAACUGAGACACGGUCCAGACUCCUACGGGAGGCAGCAGAGGGGAAUAUUGAACAAUAGACGCAAGCCUGAUACAGCCAGGCCGCGUGGAUGAAGAAGGCCUGCGAGUUGUAAAGUCCUUUCAGCGGGGAGGCGUUACCAGCAGAAGAAGCACCGGCUAACUCCGUGCCAGCAGCCGCGGUAAUAC